rnacentral:rRNA from 1 species
CGAAAGCCUGACGGAGCAAGACCGCGUGAGGGAUGACGGCCUAAUGGUUGUAAACCUCUUUUCUCUGGGAAGAUAAUGACGGUACCAGAGGAAUAAGCCUCGGCUAACUCCGUGCCAGCAGCCGCGGUAAUACGGAGGAUGCAAGCGUUAUCCGGAAUGAUUGGGCGUAAAGCGUCCGCAGGUGGCAAUGUAAGUCUGCUGUUAAAGAGUCUAGCUCAACUAGAUAAGAGCAGUGGAAACUACAUAGCUAGAGUACGUUCGGGGCAGAGGGAAUUCCUGGUGUAGCGGUGAAAUGCGUAGAGAUCAGGAAGAACACCGGUGGCGAAGGCGCUCUGCUAGGCCGUAACUGACACUGAGGGACGAAAGCUAGGGGAGCG